AAAAUACUCCCUCCGUCCCAAAAUUCUUGUCUUACAUUUGUCUAGAUACGGAUGUAUCAAGUCACGUUUUAGUAUUAGAUACAUCCGUAUUUAGACAAAUCUAAGACAAGAAUUUUGGGACGGAGGGAGUAUCUA
rnacentral:pre_miRNA from 1 species